GUUUUUCCCGGUCUGAAAGAAGGACAACGGGCCGCAUCACCGUGAUUACAGCAGUAACGUACAGUUUAGCUGGCCGACGGAACAAGCCGUCCCUCCCCACAGCUACAGAGGAACAACGUGGGCAGAGCGAUCAGGAGACAGACUGCAAAAGAAGAACAGAGGUAGGUUACCCAACGUAAUGGCAGAGAAGUACAACAGUCAAUACUACAACAACAAAUAAAUUAAAGACUGCAGCCUCCAACCCUCCACCCACAGAAAGGCACAGGCAAACAGACAGUUACGCUUGUUUAUGUAAGAAGAGUUUCAGUUGCUGCGUCACUCUGGAGGCCAGACCACAACAUCAGAGGGGGAGUAACUGAUUCAUUUUCUCGAUCGAUCAGAACAAAUACAAGAACCAAGGGGGUGGAAGUGGUGGUGGAGGAGCGGUGGGGCACAGAAAGUGCAGAAGAGGUUGGUAAAAAAGGAAAGAAAGACAGAAAGAAGGAAACAAAGAAGAAGUCUGUUACAACACCAACCAACCACAGGGAGGAAACCACAAUGCAUUACAGUUUUUAACAUACACACACUCAACAGCAACGUACCAUAUCAGUGAAGCAUUGUGAUAAGGCACUUUUACAGUUUGUCUCUAAACGGUCACUCAACUUUUACAACCAUAAACAAUCCAAAGAUAUGAAGCACAAAUUCAAAAAUCAGAAAAAUCAUUGUUUUUAGAGUUAUACUAUAGCUACUAUACAGAUUUGGCAAAAUACAGUAUAUUUGUUAUGGUAAUAUUAAAGAUGUGAAGUACUUCUUUUAGUAGAUUAAUAUGUUUUAUGCUUCAGUUCUGAUCUUCCUUUGUUGUGAAGAAACCUUUUGAAUGAGAGUUAUGAUGUCUUGAGCUGCUCUUUGUAAGGGAGAAUCACAUAAUAACAACAAAGUAUGCUCUUACCUAGCUAAGAUUAUUUCAAAGAUCUCCAGGAAGAAGUUGGUGCCUGAGUGUGUCAGGUUUUCACAUAUUUUAACAUACAGAAAAGUACAUACCACUUUAAAAAUACUGCAAAUAUCCUCUGCAGUGAUCCACCUUUAAACAUCUACGUUAAACGUGAGUUGUUGCACUUGGUAUAAUUUAGUUCAGUUCAGUUCUUUGCAUAGAGCACAUUAACAACAGACUAGGAAGAGAGGAAUUAAAGCGGCACCACUGAGGGAGUCGCUGAGUCACUACUGACCCUCCUGGACUGGUCUCUAUCGCACACAUUUGUUUACAUGAAAUAUCUUUUGUGCAACAGAUUAUGUCAGUUGAGAAUAUAAUAACAUCAGCCUCUGCUUUUUUCGCAUUUAGAAUGUACAGCAUGAGACUAGCAGGAUUUCUGAGUCAACCAUAAACAGACAUUUGCAGCUAAUGUUGGCUACAACCUGUCAUACAAGCAACACAGAGUGAAUCGUUGACUGUAUAUGAUAAAUGCUAUAGGUUUUGAAUAUUAUAGGCAUACAGCACUGAUAUUUCACUACAGUGUUUGCCCCUUUGAACCUUGCAACUAUGUCAAAAGAGCCCUGGAAGAAAAAAAUAUGUUGUCCACUCCUCCUUGAAGCUGUCUUUAAAGCUAAAACCAAACUGGGUUGGGUAUUGAAGUGCUUUUUACUUGCUACUGAAACCCCAUUUAGACCUGCAGGGGCAUUUCUGAGCUAUAAGUUGAACUUUGAACCCAAACAGAAAACUGACCCACAUUUAGCCUACACAAAGACCAUGAGGGGGUGUAAACUAGUUAACUUACUCACCACCUUUGUUUAUGUAGAGCUAUUGGCCUGUUGCACAUCCAACAAACACCAAUCCAUUAUUUUAUGAGACCAUUACUGCUGAUAAAAAAUAAAUCCACUUGGAAUUAACAAAAGAGCAAUAUUAAGGUGCAUUCAAUAUGUUAGGAAGUCAGAACAAUCUUGUUACUAUCUUAAGUUGGGAGAAUGAAAACAAGUCGCAUUUACUAAUUCUUGUGCUCAGUGACAACUAUUAGCAGCACAAACCCAUAACAAUGCAUUUCACUGUUUUAUUAACAAUGGUACAGAAGCUUCACCACCCAGUAAUCACUCAACGGACGAUAUUAUGUAAGGGUUUAUAAAAAACCUCUAUUAUUUCCAAGUCAUGGGGCAUUUCAGCUUAAUUUUCCAACAUAUGAUUAAAGUUUGAUAUAUAAAUCGCUUGUUCUGUUAAAGAACUACAUAACCUCAAUCUAUCAGAUUGAGAAGAUAAUAAUAAUAAUAAUAAUAAUAUUGUUAAUAAUGAUGAAGAAAUCGGUUUUUUGAACAAUUGUCUACCCAGCCUAAUUAUAUUUCAGUUACAAGAUAACCAGCUAAUAGGAUUUACUAAGUGUUCUGCUCAGUGACAAACCUACUAGCCAGAACAAUUAGCUAGAUGAUAAUAAUCCAUUUAAUGAAUUUAAAAAGUGUUGAAACACAUUCACUAACAAAGAUUGCACAAUGGUAAAUGUGUGACUGAUUUCAUGAGAUACAAACAAUCCAAAGUGCAAAUACCCAUGUUAUUAUUGCUGCUAUUUCAACUUUUUAUACUUGUGGAAGCCAUAUAGGUUUUUACUUCAGGGUUGGUGAGUAAGCCUUGACAUCAUAAGUUAGAAUUUGGACUCAGGGGUAUUCCUCACUCUGAAAUUUUGACAUUUGAUUUCUGUCUUGAACCUGUUGUAGAGCUAAUGUGGUCUAUAAUCAGAUUAAAAAUGUUUACUGUGUUUAUUUAAGAUAACAAAAACAUAAUAGUCAUGUGAAAAUUGGAUACUGGGAUGAUUUAUUCUCCAAAUUAACGGUGUUUCAAUUGCAAGAGGAAAACUAGGAUUUGCUAAACAUUGUUUCAGUACCAUGGCUAACCAUGAUUUGCAACAACAAUUAGUAAGCUAAAAACAAUGCAUUCUCUCAUGUUUAAGGAUUCAAACACUAUAGCAACAUGUUUACUAACAAAGACUGUGCAGUACUAUGUGUGUGACAGAUUUAAUCACAUUAAAACUGUCAAAUAAACAGUGCUGCUUUCACUAACUUUUCUAAACAUAGCAGCCAUGUUGGAUUUUAGGCCAUAGUUAGAAAGGAACCUAUGGACUUUCAAGUAUAAAUGUCUUAAUCCUAUUGGACAAUUGCGUGACCUCAAUUGAGACUGAAAAACCUUUAAUCAAAAAUAAUGUAACUUUGAGAUAGCGAAACGAGUACUACAGAAAACUAAAUAAUGUUUACCUCUUCACAAUUCUGGAACUGGGCUCUUGAAUGAUUUCACACCCAAGUUAACCACUUUCCAGAAGUAAGAUGGAAAACUAACUGAAUUUGCUAAUAGUUGUGGUCAGUGCCAAGGUUAACCGCUGUUAGCCAAAACUAUUAGCAAGCCAAUAAUCAGGCUUUUCUAUGCCCGAUUAUGAAUUCAAAUAGCAACACAUUGUGCAUUCCUUUUUGUUUAUCACUGCUGCUGUGACUAGCUUUGACUGUAGCAGCCAUGUUGGAUUGAGGGUAAGGGUUUGCUGAGUAACCCCUGACUUUCCAAGUAAGAAUUUGGACUUCAGGUGGGAUUCCAGUUGAUUUUCCAAAUUGUUUGCCCUAAAAUUCAGAUUUUUGCCAACAAAUGUCAAGGCCUAUUGGAGAACUACUCAAUCUAUUAUCAGAUUAAACAGGGUUUUGAUACAAAUAAUGUCACUUUGAGACAAUGAAAGCAUUAUAGUAAUGUUGGACCCAGCUCUUGGAACUAUUUCAUACCCAUCCGAACCAUGUUCAUGUUGCAGAAUGGAAAACUAAUAAUAUAUGUUAAAUGUUGCUUAAUGACAUAGGUAAUCUUUAUUGCUAACAAUUACUAUCAUGCUAAUACUAAUGCAUUUCUCUAAAUUUUAUGGAUUCAAAUAAUUUAGCCAAACAUUUGCUGACAAAAACAGUACUUUAACAGUACUUUGUGUGAGAUGGAUUUUAUAAGAUACAAACUACCACAAGUGAAAAUAAAACCAUUUUACUGCUGGUAUCUCUACCUUUCAUACAUGUGGCAGCCAUUUUGGAUUUCAGGUCAGCGCUGGAGAGGAACCUGAACUUUCUAACUAAGAAUCCGGACUUCAGGAGGUAUUGUAGCUGACUUCCAAGUGCAAAUGUCUGGACCUGUCUGAGAACCAACUUAUCUCCAUCAAUUAUCAGACUGUAAAUGCUUUUUAGGAAAAAGAGGAUGACUACUCCAAUUUAAAUAGUCAGUCAGUCAGUCAUUUUCUACCGCUUAUUCCACAGCGGGUCGCGGGGAAGCUGGUGCCUAUCUCCAGCAGUCUAUGGGCGAGAGGCGGGGUUCACCCUGGACA